CAAUAGCUACUUGCAUCAUACUAGAGAUGAUGCAAGAUCGACUAUGUCGAAUAAAAUUCUAGGUAGAAUUAUGAUAAUGACAUUGUCUGCCUAUGUGUCUUGACCAAAUUACGUGCCAGCAGUCGCGGUAAUACGUAGAAGACUAGUGUUAUUCAUGUUUAAUCGGUUUAAAGGGUACCUAGACGGUAAAUCAAGCCUAAAACUAAAAAAAAUAAAUGAAGGGACUAAUUUACUAGAGUUACUUAUGAGGGGGUAUUAAAGUACUGCUGGUGUAGAGAUGAAAUUCUGUCAUACCUCUUUUCAAUAGAAAAACAAUGGCACAGGUAUAGGCGAAGGCAUCCCCUUAUGUGAUAACUGACGUUGAGGGACGAAGGCUUUGUGUAGCGAACAGGAUUAGAUACCCCAGUAGUCAAAGCAGAAAAUGAUGAAUGUCAUAGAUUAGAUAUAUAAGUUUAUUCUAUAAAUGAAAGUGUAAGCAUUCCACCUCAAGAGUAAUUUGGCAACAUUGGAACUGAAAUCAUUAGACCGUUUCUGAAACCAGUAGUGAAGUAUGUUGUUUAAUUUGAUGAUCCGCAAAAAACCUUACCACAAUUUGAAUAUUUAUAUCUUUUAUUGUUUUUUCUUCUUCUUAUUAUUCAAUUAUUGAAGAAUAAGAAAAAUAGGCAAUAAGA
rnacentral:rRNA from 1 species